GAACACCCCCUCCCCCAAUAUAAUACUAGAGGCAAAACUAUUCUUAAAUAAGUGACUCCGUAAUCCUGUGUUCUCAAAGAUAGUGUUGCUGUUAGAACUCUUCAGUGUUCUAACUCUUCAGUUGGAGAUCCUUAUGCUUGGAUUACUGUGAUGCAGUGGAAUACUUUCACUUUAUCUUCUCUUAUGUGCCAGCUCAUCUAAUCUCCAUUGUCGCAAGAGGUAGUCAUUAGGCUCUUUGUUGAUUUCCACUGAGGAGCUGUGCAUUUUGUUAACAUUUGCAUGUUUCAAGUGCUCAUGUUUGAUUCUUUUCUUCAAGUAAAUCGUAUACUUGUAAAUACAAUUUCUGUUGUAUUUGAAACUUCAUGAGUGCAAAUGACUUACUUCCUAGUAAUUUUUAAAAGAUCUUUUUAUUAGCUUUCAUUCUUAUGAAAUAUAUUUGCUUUUAACAACAUUCUUACUUUUUUUGGCUUUGGGUCUAAGGCUUUGCAUGAGUGCAUUUUGAUCAUUGAUUUAUAAUGUAAAAGUUGUCUGUUUUCUUUCAUAGUUUUAAAUUACAUCAUUUGAUGACAUGACUGCUAUGGGAGUGCAGAUUUUGAGUAGGUUUCUAAUGGUAAUGUCAUUAGUUUUUGUUAUUUAUGAGACUGUAUCCUACUCCAGCUUUAAACUUGGCACAGUCCUCUUGCUUCAGCUUUUCCUGAGUGCUGGGAUCUCACGUGGAAGCCACCAUAUCUGGCCUUUUUCAUUUUUCUUUUCUUUCUUUUUUUUUUUUUUUUUUUUUUUUUUGAGGUUAGUCCCACCUAGCCAUGGAUGACCUUGAAUGAUUGGUCCUUUAUCUCCCAGAUUCUGAGAUUAUAGACAAGGGCUGCCACCAUGUCCAAUUUUAUAUGGUUCUGGGGCUCAAGCCCAGAAAUUUAUGUAUACUCUAUGAAUGUACUACUCUUCCUUCUGAAAGAUACUAUGCUUUUUCUUACCCCCCCUUUAAAAAAUUGUUUUAGAAGUAAAUUGUAUAGCCAUUACUUAAUUUUAAGGAAAGAACAAGGCAAAUAGUAGUUCAUUGAUACAGACAUACAAGGAAUUAUAUUUCAUUUUGUAGGAUUUGGGAAGUUUCCAAAAUCUACUAGAGACUAUCUUGAUGUAUAGAUUCUUACCUGGAGCUGUGACACUCCUUACUCCUUUAAGGAAUUGUUUUUUAAUAGGCACCACUGUCUUUUGAUUGUCUAGUUUUUUUUUUUUAAGGUAUUGUUUUAUAAUGUGUGUAUUAAAGAACAUACCUUAAUUUAAGUUAGGAAGACAGAAAAUUAGCCUAGAAGUAACAUAUUUUCAUAUUGUUUUAUUCCUGCAGUUACUGACUAGCUCUACAAGUUGUGUUGGAAAGUUGUAGAACAUAUAUGGAAGACCAGGAAUUAAAAUUAAAAUGUCUUUGCCAGCUCAGGAGAUGACUCAGCAUUUAAGCUUUUGCUUGAGAACUUGUGUCCCCCAGAAUGCAAGUAAAUACCCAGAUACCACCUGCCUGUAAUUCCAGGUGGAGAUGGAUCCCAGAGGAAACUGGUUAUCUAGAGAUGCCAAAUUGAUGAGCUCUGGGUAUCACUGAGGUGUCUUGGUUCAAGAAUUAAGGUUACGAUGAUUUUCAUUCUCAGCAGCAGUAUCAUCCUCAGAUCUACACAUGUUCUUGCCCCACGUGCAAGUGCACCCCCACUACUAAGACGUACAUACACAUGAACUCAACAUGAAAAUUGUAAAGAAUGUUUUUCAAGUUUUUUGUGAGCAUGGUCCUCCAGACACAAGAAGUAAAAUCCCCUGGAUUCUCAUCUCUUCCUUCUUUCAGUUUAAACUGUUUAAGUAAUAGAUUAAUUUUUUCAGGAGGAACAUAAUGAUGUUUUUGCAAUGAAAUUUUAGUUGUUUAUAAUUUGAAAAGAGAUAGCAUUUUUGUGGCAAAUUCCAAGUAAGCCAGCAGAAAUAUUUCAGAUUUUUUCUCAUGUGACUUUACAUUCCCUCCACUCUCAGAUAUGAAGCUAUAAAGGUGCUUCUAAGUAAAAUUAAUAUCUAUAAGACUGUUAAAGUUUGCCAUGCAGUUAGCUACUGCUUUUUAAAAACAAUCCCUUAAUAUUAAAUAAUUAGUUUUCUUUGAAAGAGCUUGGGAACUUUUUGCAAUUUCAAUUGUCCACAUGUGGUUGUAAUUUAGUCUCCUACCAUUCUUGAAUUUUAAUCUUUGGUUUUACUUUUCAUAUAUGCAGUAUGAUACUCAGGUUAAGUUCUUAAGAAUUUGACCCUUGACUGUUACUAUUUUUAAUGGAUACAAAUGUAUCUGUGACAGGAGAACUUAAAAUAUGUGAAUUCAUUGAUUCUGUCUUUGAGAGGUUGUUAUAAUAGUGCUGUUUCAUUAAAGGUUUGUGUAUGGUAGAGAAUAUCUUCAAAGUGGAUAGAAUUUUCUGUUUGAAGAAAUAAGAUGACUGUUACUCCAACAGAAUUUUUUUUCUUCUAAUUUUUUAUGAAGCACCCCGCUUGAAGAGUUUGAAAUGGACUUUACCACAGAAAUCAAGAUGGCAGCCCAUUAUGGGGAAUUGAGGAAAAUGGAUUAAUGCAAGAAUGCUGUAAUAUUACACAACCAACACAGGAUUCUUUUAAUGUGGAUUCCAUGAAAUGAAUGAUUCUUACCCGCUUAUGGACUUAUCCACAAAUGGACAGUGGAAUUUACUUCCUAAAGACAUAUUACAUAUGUACAUUUUUGACAUCUGGAGAAGAUUCUACAAUUCUACAAAUGGUAGUUUGUAUUCCUGGAAUUUCUUGCAGUUUGAUCUGAAGUGACCUUAUGGAAUGUUAACUUUAAUAAAAAUCUCUAAAACU
ensembl:processed_transcript